GGCAUGCUGAAUUCAAAUAUGACAAUAAAAAUGACUGGUUGGCUACUGUUUCUAAGAUAUUUAAGUUUUUACAUUUUAGAUUUGUUUUGGAACAAC